CAGAGGGGGCAAGCGUUGUUCGGAAUUACUGGGCGUAAAGGGCGCGUAGGCGGCCUUCUAAGUCGAACGUGAAAUCCCCGGGCUCAACCCGGGAACUGCGUCCGAUACUGGAAGGCUUGAAUCCGGGAGAGGGAUGUGGAAUUCCAGGUGUAGCGGUGAAAUGCGUAGAUAUCUGGAGGAACACCGGUGGCGAAGGCGACAUCCUGGACCGGUAUUGACGCUGAGGCGCGAAAGCCAGGGGAGCAAACGGGAUUAGAUACCCCGGUAGUCCUGGCCCUAAACGAUGAAUGCUUGGUGUGGCGGGUAUCGAUCCCUGCCGUGCCGAAGCUAACGCAUUAAGCAUUCCGCCUGGGGGAGUACGGUCGCAAGGCUAG
rnacentral:rRNA from 1 species